AAGACAACCAGAAACGCAGACUGAACAACCCAAAAAGUACUGCGCAGAAAUAGGCUCAAAACGCUCUAUACUACCCAAGGAUUCCAGAAAACACAACGAGAAGUAAUCGAAAACCGGAAAAAGUGUACGCAGAAACUGCCCCGAAAGGCUCUAUACUACCCAAGGACUCCAGAAAACACAACGAGAAAUAAGCAAAAACCGGAAA
rnacentral:lncRNA from 1 species